CCGUAGCCCAAGAGAUCGGGAUAACACCUGGAAAACAGAUGCUAAUACCGGAUAACAACAGAUGAUGCCUAUCAACUGUUUAAAAGAUGGUUCUGCUAUCACUCUUGGAUGGACCUGCGGUGCAUUAGCUAGUUGGUAGGGUAACGGCCUACCAAGGCGAUGAUGCAUAGCCGAGUUGAGAGACUGAUCGGCCACAUUGGGACUGAGACACGGCCCAAACUCCUACGGGAGGCAGCAGCA
rnacentral:rRNA from 1 species